CCCGCUGAACUUAAGCAUAUCAAUAAGCGGAGGAAAAGAAACUAACAAGGAUUCCCCUAGUAACUGCGAGUGAAGCGGGAAAAGCUCAAAUUUAAAAUCUGGCGGUCUCGCGGCCGUCCGAGUUGUAAUCUAGAGAAGCGUUUUCCGCGUCGGACCGUGUACAAGUCUUCUGGAACGGAGCGUCGUAGAGGGUGAGAAUCCCGUCUCUGACACGGACAGCCGAUGCUUCAUGUGAUACGCUCUCGAAGAGUCGAGUUGUUUGGGAAUGCAGCUCAAAAUGGGUGGUAAAUUCCAUCUAAAGCUAAAUACAGGCGAGAGACCGAUAGCGAACAAGUACCGUGAGGGAAAGAUGAAAAGAACUUUGGAAAGAGAGUUAAACAGUACGUGAAAUUGCUGAAAGGGAAACGCUUGAUGUCAGUCGCGUCGGCCGGGGAUCAGCCUUGCUCUUUUGCUCGGCGUACUUCCUGGUCGACGGGUCAGCAUCGGUUUCGAUCGUCGGAGAAUGGCUCGAGGAAUGUGGCACUCUUCGGAGUGUGUUAUAGACUCGGGUCGAAUACGACGCUCGGGACCGAGGAACUCAGCACGACCUUCACCGGUUCGGAGCUUCGGCUCACGUUAACGUGCUUAGGAUGCUGGCAUAAUGGCCUUAAGCGACCCGUCUUGAAACACGG
rnacentral:rRNA from 1 species